UUGACCUCGGAUCAGGUAGGAAUACCUGCUGAACUUAAGCAUAUCAAUAAGCGGAGA
rnacentral:rRNA from 1 species